UUAGAGAAACUCAAAGCCCCAUGGGGGUUGGGAAUGAGACUCCUAAGGACCCCACUUUGGGAUCCCUAUAAUUCUCAACCCCCCAAGAAAAAAUCCUUAUGCCUUCAGCGUGAUGAGGAAGAAUACGAAUGUGGAGUUAGAACAAUCUAGUUCUAAUCCUGGCUCUGCCACUUGUUAUCUGGGUAGCCAUGGACAAGGAAGUUCAAUAUGGUUUUAAUGGAAUAGUGGGAAUAAAAGCUUGCAGGAUCAAGAAGUGGUAACAGAAAAUGAAAGCAGCAAGGCCCUCCAUCUUAUUGACCUCUUAUCAGAAUGCCCAGCUUCCUACACAACACUGCUCAGGUCUAAAGAUCUCAGGGAGAUCUUCCCUGUCCUGCUUGUUAGUGCUCUAGAGACAAGAGAUCUGUUUUUGGAUAGAGUCCUCGCUCAUAAAAUGGCCAAGGAAUCAACCUCUACUGAAGUGCUCCCUUUCACCUGGGUACAUCUCAGCAUGAAGGGGAUCGUGACGUCAGAACAAUCUCUGGCCAAGCUGGAAGGAUUUCCAGCAUAUACACGGUGGUGGACUUUUUGUAUGGGGUGCAAGGACCUGCUUGGCUAAGUGAGAAAGCAUUAGUCACCAAACAAACCACAAUAUACAAAAAUCUGCAGGUUUCAGCAGUUUAUAAGCAGAAGGGUGAUGAUUUCACAGGCACAAAGAACACUCAAUCAAUGAAAAACAAAGAUCCUUUGAAUGACUGAAGUUGUUCAAUUCCUACCUAGCUGAGGACCAAGAUGCUGAUGAAACCGUUCCCACCUUAAGGUGGGACUACUGCCCACAAUCCUGGGACAGGGCAGCAUGCCUUAACCUUGGCAGCCAGGUAGAUUGAUCUGGGCCCCGGACCUUUGGUCAAAAAAGGGGCUAAAAGCAAUCCUUGGGUUUCCAAGGGAGAACUCAGAAGACGCCAAGUAAAU
rnacentral:lncRNA from 1 species